GACAGAGGCCUCAAGCGUUAGGCGGAAUCACUGGGCUUAAAGCGUGUGUAGGCGGAUCGUUAAGUGUCUUGUGAAAUCCCACGGCUCACCCGUGGAACGGCUGGGCAUACUGGCGAUCUUGGGCCAACUAGGGGCAACUGGAACAAGCGGUGGAGCGGUGAAAUGCGUAGAUAAUCGCUUGGAACGCCGGAAGGUGAAAACAGGUUGCUGGG
rnacentral:rRNA from 1 species